rnacentral:rRNA from 1 species
UACGGAGGGAGCGAGCGUUGUUCGGAAUUACUGGGCGUAAAGGGUGCGCAGGCGGCUAUGCAAGUCGGAAGUGAAAUCCCAGGGCUUAACCCUGGAAUUGCUUUCGAAACUGCAUAGCUCGAGUCUCGGAGAGGUUAGCGGAAUUCCCAGUGUAGAGGUGAAAUUCGUAGAUAUUGGGAGGAACACCAGUGGCGUAAGCGGCUAACUAGACGAGUACUGACGCUCAAGCACGAAAGCGUGGGGAUCAAACAGG